UCAAAAAAAGGGCAAAAUUAGAGGAAUCUAAUGACGCAAAACUAUAGGGCCUAAAACAAAAUUAAGGUAGCCAGUUGCUAGU
rnacentral:ncRNA from 1 species